rnacentral:sRNA from 1 species
AGUUGUUCCAGAGGAAGAUGUAACCAAGCUAUCAAAGAGAUAUCCGAGAAGAUUGGAGUCACUUCAGCUAUUGCUGCAUUACUGGAAGACAAUAUUGGCUUUGAUGUGAAACUUUUGAACGACUCUCUAGCCAUAUGGAAAGCUUUGGCACUUGAGUGGAAAAGGCUGAAAGAAUCUGGAGAAUCAGUAGAUGUCACUUAUGCAGCAAUCAGAAAAAUUGCAGUUACUAUUCAAGAUAUUAUUGAGGAUAUAGGUAA